AACGUACUCCCUUCGUCCGAAAAUAUUUAUUCGAGAAAUGAAUGUAUCUGAAUGUAAUUUAGUUAUAGAUACAUUCAUUUGUAUUCAUUUAUACGACAAGUAUUUUCGGACGGAGACAGUAAAUA
rfam:Triticum urartu cultivar G1812 contig396266, whole genome shotgun sequence.